GGAUAAUUUGAUACAGAACGAAGAACUUUAUCAGAGCUUGACAUGCUGCGAAUCCUCUCGAAAGAGAGGGAUACCUUCAAGAACGUGGACACAGGUGGUGUAUGGCUAUCGUCAACUUGUGCCGUAAGAUGUUGGGUUAUCCUCUGCUCAGAACAGGAACAUAGAUUUUUACCCUUACCCUUAUGAGAUCUACA
rnacentral:ncRNA from 1 species